ACUUUAUACAGUGAAACUGCGAAUGGCUCAUUAAAUCAGUUAUAGUUUAUUUGAUGAUGCUUGCUACAUGGAUAACUGUGGUAAAUCUAGAGCUAAUACAUGCGUUAUAAGCCCCGACUUCGGAAGGGGUGUAUUUAUUAGGUAAAAUCCAUCGGCUUCGGCCUUUGGGGAGUCAUAAUAACUGCACGAAUCGCAUGGCCUUGCGCCGGCGAUGCUUCAUUCAAAUAUCUGCCCUAUCAACUGUCGAUGGUACGGUAGUGGCCUACCAUGGUUGCAACGGGUAACGGGGAAUAAGGGUUCGAUUCCGGAGAGGGAGCCUGAGAAACGGCUACCACAUCCAAGGAAGGCAGCAGGCGCGCAAAUUAUCCAAUCCCGACACGGGGAGAUAGUGACAAAAAAUAACAAUACAGGGCUUUCAUAGGUCUUGUAAUUGGAAUGAGUACAAUUUAAAUCCCUUAACGAGGAACAAUUGGAGGGCAAGUUUGGUGCCAGCAGCCGCGGUAAUUCCAACUCCAAUAGCGUAUAUUAAAGUUGUUGCAGUUAAAAAGCUCGUAGUUGAACUUGGGCCCUGGCUGGGCGGUCCGCCUAACGGCGAGUACUGUACAAGCUGGGGCUUAUCCUCUUGUGUGAACCCGGUCGUACUUUGUGCGGCCGGGGGAACCAGGGAAAUUACUUUGAAAAAAUUAGAGUGUUCAAAGCAGGCCUAACGGCUCGAAUAGAUUAGCAUGGAAUAAGGGAACAGGACGUUGCGGUCCCGUUUCGUUGGUUUUUGGGAUCGCCGUAAUGAUUAAUAGGGACAGUCGGGGGCAUUAGUAUUCACAAGCUAGAGGUGAAAUUCUUGGAUUUUGUGAAGACUAACUUCUGCGAAAGCAUUUGCCAAGGAUGUUUUCAUUAAUCAAGAACGAAGGUUAGGGGAUCGAAAACGAUUAGAUACCGUUGUAGUCCUAACAGUAAACUAUGCCGACUAGGGAUCGGUCGACGUUAUACACAUGACUCGAUCGGCACCUUACGAGAA
rnacentral:rRNA from 1 species